UGUUCGUCAAGGUCAUCCUUUAUGCUGUGGUCGGAGGAAAGACUGUCUCUGGAGUCGUGGCGAGAUACUGGAUCCAUCUCGGACAUGUCUGACAAAUAGACAGACUAAGGUGCACCUUAUUCUGAAUUAUCUCCCCUGAUGAGGGUUCAAAACCUGCAGAUGACAAACCAAAGGGGGCAUCUCACAUCCCAAGAAGAAAGAAAAACUGGACAGUUGUGACAAGUGGUAUCGAAGAGAUAAAUAAAUAAUAUGAUGACA